ensembl:lncRNA
AGACAAAUAAAUAAAUAGCCAGGAAGAAGGAAAAGGCAGGAAGGAGCGGGAUACAGGCACGUAGCUAAACAAACACAGCGGCACCGGGGGAAAAAGGGAAGAUACAGAUAUUUUUUCUCCCACUCCUUCCUAAACUGACACCCCCCGAAAGAUUUGGCGGCGCUGGGGAAGGCGGCAGCUGGGAAACAGCUGUACAAUUCCUGGGGUAAUGGGGAGGGGAAGGAACUCAAAAGGAUCAUUAGUGAAGGGAUGGGGGCAUGGAAAGGACUCCCAGGAACCGGAGGAACCCCCCCUGGGUCGGCAGCAUCCCCGCGCCGCGGCUGGAGCAGGUAAACGCUGCAGCGGGGCCCUCCCGGGGCUCCCUGACGGCUUUUCCCGGCAGUUCUCGGGUUUUUUCUACCUGUUCCCCGAGGCGGCUUUGCCCGGUCCCACCUGGUUCCCAUCGCCCCCGCGGCUCUGCCUUUUGCUUCUUCCAUUAAAGCAGAAAUAGGGGAAUAAAAUUAAAGCGAAAGUGGGAGCCCGGAGCAGCCCCCGACGGGCCGGGCUGGGAGAGCGCGAAGGAGCGGCGGGAGAAGCUCGGAACGAGCUCGGUCCUGUCCGAGCCUGGGGACGGCCACGGAGCCCCGGGACACCCGGGCCGAGGGGAACCGGGUGCUCUGGAGCUCCGGGGAGAGCCGGGGAACCGGGAGAGCCGCAGCCCGGUACUGGGGAACGAGAGCGGUACUGCCCCCGAGAGCGGUACCGAGGGAACCGGGACCGCUGGGGCUCCGGAGCGGGCACACCGGGCAGCGCUGCCAGCCCCGCAGUUCGGCCUCCCCCAGGUCCCGGAGCCUCGGGCCCGUCCGUGCGGCCGCACCGCGGCUGCUGCCGCCGGUCCUGCCCGGUGGGCUCCGGGAAGCGGAGUCGGCGGCCGGACGGGACUUUGCAGCCUCCUCCGGGAGCGCGGCCGCUCUCCAUCCCCGGGAGCGGGGACCGGCCGCUCUCCAUCCCCGGGAACGGGGACCGGCCGCUCUCCAUCCCCGGGAACGGGGACCGGCCGCUCUCCAUCCCCGGGAACGGGGACCGGCCGCUCUCCAUCCCCGGGAACGGGGACCGGCCGUUCCCCACCCCGGGCCGUACCCGCCGUCUCGGCCGCUCCCCGCCGCUUUUUCUCCCCCUUCCCUCGCUGUUUCUGGAGAACGGGAACCGGCCCGGACACCCCGCUCUCUGUCGCGACACAGCCCAGCUGCCGGCCCUUCCCAGCUCCGGCUCCCGUCGGGGAACGCCCUGGAUAUCCCCGACGGGGCCAUAUCGCGACAUCGCCGCCUCGGAGCAGCCCCGGGGAGCGUGUCAGCGCAAUGACACCCUCGGGGGGUCAGGGCUGGGGCUCCCGGCGGAACCCGAGAGGGGGAAGAGAAGCAGAAGGGGCCGGGAGGGGUCGGCAGCCCCGGCCCCCCAUCCACCCGCGGCUCCCCGGUACCUGCAGCCCCGGGCGGGUACGGGGGCUUCCCAUGCACGGCCACGGCGGGGGGGCCCGGGCUGGGCACCCCCGGGUACCGCGGGCAGCGGCCGGGCCGGGGGCUGAGCGGCGGCGGCCGCCGGUGGGGCCCCGGAGCACCGAGGGCGAAGGCGGUGGGAGGCUGGGGGAGCCCCGGGGGACCCCCGGGCCGGCGAGGCGGGGGGAAGGCCGGGCAGCCCGGUGUGUCCAUGGCGCGGCUUGGAGGGGACGGGGACGGUCCGCGGGAGCGGAUUUUGUGCGGGGCACGGGGAGGAGG